rnacentral:rRNA from 1 species
CCUACGGGAGGCAGCAGUGAGGAAUAUUGGUCAAUGGACGCAAGUCUGAACCAGCCAAGUAGCGUGAAGGAUGACUGCCCUAUGGGUUGUAAACUUCUUUUAUAAAGGAAUAAAACGAGGCACGUGUGCCUUUUUGCAUGUACUUUAUGAAUAAGGAUCGGCUAACUCCGUGCCAGCAGCCGCGGUAAUACGGAGGAUCCGAGCGUUAUCCGGAUUUAUUGGGUGUAAAGGGAGCGUAGAUGGGUUGUUAAGUCAGUUGUGAAAGUUUGCGGCUCAACCGUAAAAUUGCAAUUGAUACUGGCAGUCUUGAGUACAGUUGAGGUAGGCAGAAUUCGUGGUGUAGCGGUGAAAUGCUUAGAUAUCACGAAGAACCCCGAUUGCGAAGGCAGCUUACUAAACUGUGACUGACGCUGAGGCACGAAAGCGUGGGUAUCGAACAGGAUUAGAUACCCGAGUAGUC